rnacentral:rRNA from 1 species
AAUCAACGCUGGCGGCGUGCCUCAGACAUGCAAGUCGAACGAUUAAAGCUCUCUUCGGAGAGUGCAUAGAUUGGCGCACGGGUGAGUAACACGUAAGUGAUCUACCUUCGAGUGGGGAAUAACGUCCGGAAACGGACGCUAAUACCGCAUAAUGCAGCGGCAUCGCAAGAUGACAGUUGUUAAAGAUUUAUCGCUUGAAGAGGAGCUUGCGGCAGAUUAGCUAGUUGGUAAGGUAAUGGCUUACCAAGGCUACGAUCUGUAACCGGUCUUAGAGGACGGUCGGUCACACUGACACUGAAUAACGGGUCAGACUCCUAGGGGAGGCAGCAGUCGGGAAUUUUGGGCAAUGGGCGAAAGCCUGACCCAGCAACGCCGCGUGAAGGAUGAAGUAUUUCGGUACGUAAACUUCGAAAGAAUGGGAAGAAUCAAUGACGGUACCAUUUAUAAGGUCCGGCUAACUACGUGCCAGCCGCCGCAGUAAGAC